UACGGUAGGGUGCGAGCGUUAAUCGGAAUUACUGGGCGUAAAGCGUGCGCAGGCGAUUCGUUAUGUCCGAUGUGAAAGCCCCGAGCUCAACUUGGGAAUGGCAUUGGAAACUGGGCGGGCUGGAGGUGUGGGCAGAGGGGGGGUGGAAUUCCACGUGUAGCAGUGAAAUGCGUAGAGAUGUGGAGGAACACCGAUGGCGAAGGCAGCCCCCUGGGCCAACACAUGACGCUCGAGGCACGAAAGCGUGGGGAGCAAACAGG
rnacentral:rRNA from 1 species